rnacentral:rRNA from 1 species
AUUGACCUCGGAUCAGGUAGGGAUACCCGCUGAACUUAAGCAUAUCAAUAAGCGGAGGAAAAGAAACCAACAGGGAUUGCCUCAGUAACGGCGAGUGAAGCGGCAACAGCUCAAAUUUGAAAUCUGGCCCUCCCGGGGCCCGAGUUGUAAUUUGUAGAGAGUGUUUCGGGUGAGGCCGCGGUCUAAGUCCAUUGGAACAUGGUGUCAGAGAGGGUGAGAAUCCCGUACGUGACCGUGGUCCGAGCCCAUGUGAAGCCUCUUCGACGAGUCGAGUUGUUUGGGAAUGCAGCUCAAAAUGGGUGGUAAAUUUCAUCUAAAGCUAAAUACUGGCUGGAGACCGAUAGCGCACAAGUAGAGUGAUCGAAAGAUGAAAAGCACUUUGGAAAGAGAGUCAAACAGUACGUGAAAUUGUUGAAAGGGAAGCGCUGGCAACCAGACCUGCCCGUGGGCGAUCAGCCGCUGUUCUCAGCGGUGCACUCGCUCCGCGAUCAGGCCAGCAUCGGUUUCGGCGGUCGGAUAAAGGCCUUGGGAAUGUAGCUCCCCUCGGGGAGUCUUAUAGCCCUCGGUGCAAUGCGGCCAGCCGGGACCGAGGACCGCGCUUCGGCUAGGAUGCUGGCGUAAUGGUUGUCAGCGACCCGUCUUGAAACACGGACCAAGGAGUCUAACAUCUAUGCAAGUGUUUGGGUGUCAAACCCAUGCGCGGAAUGAAAGUGAACGGAGGUGAGAACCCUGAAGGGCGCAUCAUCGACCGAUCCAGAUGUCUUCGGAUGGAUUUGAGUAUGAGCAUAGCUGUUGGGACCCGAAAGAUGGUGAACUAUGCCUGAAUAGGGUGAAGCCAGAGGAAACUCUGGUGGAGGCUCGCAGCGGUUCUGACGUGCAAAUCGAUCGUCAAAUUUGGGUAUAGG